rnacentral:lncRNA from 1 species
GAAUAACUUGCCCAAGAUCACAUAGCAAAAAGAUAACCUCAACACAUGCCCUGGAUCAAACUAGGAACAUGACUGAAGAAUAAAAUUGCUCCUCCUGCAAAGAUGGAAGAAUGUUGAGCUCUGUGAGAGCUCCCCACAGCAUGAGGAAAUAAAGGGGUUGAAACCAGAGAGAAGCUGAGUGGAGACCAAGCAAGAAGGCAGGAAAGUAGGAGCCAGGAAGAGACAGGUGGCAAGCUCCCCACCAGCCCAGGAAUGGUCCAGAAAUGCUGUUCAGGAGCCAGGGCCUGGAGUUAGGAACCUUAGAAAUCUGCUCUAUUCUACUGUGGCUGAGUUGGCACCAAAGCUGCAAGACAAAGUCCUUCUCACUCUUCUCUCUCAUUUCCUCAACCUGAAGGAGUCUUUCUUCACAGCCACCACCACCUCAGG